rnacentral:misc_RNA from 1 species
CUCCCUCAAGCCUGGCUUGGUCUUGGGCCGCGCCCUCCCCGCGGGGUGGGCGGGCCUCAAACUCCUGGGCGGUGUCGUCCCUCCACUGGCGUGACCGGGAGAUCUCUCCACACACCAGCGGGGGCGACGCUCGCCGUGACGCGGCCGCGAGGCCCUACG